GGUAGUCCACGCCGUAAACGAUGUCGACUUGGAGGUUGUGCCCUUGAGGCGUGGCUUCCGGAGCUAACGCGUUAAGUCGACCGCCUGGGGAGUACGGCCGCAAGGUUAAAACUCAAAUGAAUUGACGGGGGCCCGCACAAGCGGUGGAGCAUGUGGUUUAAUUCGAUGCAACGCGAAGAACCUUACCUACUCUUGACAUCCAGAGAACUUAGCAGAGAUGCUUUGGUGCCUUCGGGAACUCUGAGACAGGUGCUGCAUGGCUGUCGUCAGCUCGUGUUGUGAAAUGUUGGGUUAAGUCCCGCAACGAGCGCAACCCUUAUCCUUUGUUACCAGCGGUUAGGCCGGGAACUCAAAGGAGACUGCCAGUGAUAAACUGGAGGAAGGUGGGGAUGACGUCGAGUCAUCAUGGCCCUUACGAGUAGGGCUACACACGUGCUACAAUGGCGCAUACAAAGAGAAGCGACCUCGCGAGAGCAAGCGGACCUCAUAAAGUGCGUCGUAGUCCGGAUUGGAGUCUGCAACUCGACUCCAAGAAGUCGGAAUCGCUAGUAAUCGUAGAUCAGAAUGCUACGGUGAAUACGUUCCCGGGCCUUGUACACACCGCCCGUCACACCUUGGGAGUGGGUUGCAAAAGAAGUAGGUAGCUUAACCUUCGGGAGGGCGCUUACCACUUUGUGAUUCAUGACUGGGGUGAAGUCGUAACAAGGUAACCGUAGGGGAACCUGC
rnacentral:rRNA from 1 species